rnacentral:rRNA from 1 species
CUACGGGCCGCUCCAGUGGGGAAUAUUGGACAAUGGGGGAAACCCUGAUCCAGCAAUGCCGCGUGUGUGAAGAAGGCCUGCGGGUUGUAAAGCACUUUCGGUUGGGAGGACUGCUUCUAGCACUAAUAUUGUUGGAAGUUGACGUUACCUUCAGAAGAAGCACCGGCUAACUCCGUGCCAGCAGCCGCGGUAAUACGGAGGUGCAAGCGUUAAUCGGAAUUACUGGGCGUAAAGCGCGCGUAGGCGGCUAGAUCAGUCGGGUGUGAAAGCCCCGGGCUUAACCGGGGAACUGCAUCCGAUACUGUCGAGCUUGAGUACAGGAGAGGAGAGUGGAAUUCCACAUGUAGCGGUGAAAUGCGUAGAUAUGUGGAGGAACACCAAUGGCGAAGGCAGCUCUCUGGCCUGAUACUGACGCUGAGGUGCGAAAGCGUGGGGAGCAAACAGGAUUAGAUACCCCCGUAGUC